rnacentral:rRNA from 1 species
AGCAGCCGCGGUAAUUCCAGCUCCAAUAGCGUAUAUUAAAGUUGUUGCAGUUAAAAAGCUCGUAGUUGAAUUUCGGGAUCAAUAUGUUUGGUCGUGCCUCGGUACGUACUAGCUUAUUGGUUUCUCCUUUCUGAAGAACCAUGAUGUCAUUCAUUUGGUGUCGUGGGGAAUCAGGACUGUUACUUUGAAAAAGUUAGAGUGUUUAAAGCAGGCUCACGCUUGAAUACAUUAGCAUGGAAUAAUGAAAUAGGACGUUUGAUUCUAUUUUGUUGGUUUCUAGGAUCGACGUAAUGAUUAAUAGGGAUAGUUGGGGGCAUUAGUAUUCAAUUGUCAGAGGUGAAAUUCUUGGAUUUAUUGAAGACUAACUACUGCGAAAGCAUUUGCCAAGGAUGUUUUCAUUAAUCAAGAACGAAAGUUAGGGGAUCGAAGACGAUCAGAUACCGUCGUAGU